rnacentral:rRNA from 1 species
AUUGAACGCUAGCGGGAUGCUUUACACAUGCAAGUCGAACGAGUGGCGGACGGGUGAGUAAUAUAUCGGAACGUGCCCAGUAGCGGGGAUAAAUACGUGAAAGAGUGGCUAAUACCGCAUACUCAUGGAGACGCCCAUAGCGGAUUAGCUAUUUGGUGGGGUAAAGGCGCACCAAGGCAACGAUCCGUAGCUGGUUUGAGAGGACGACCAGCCACACUGGGACUGAGACACGGCCCAGACUCCUACGGGAGGCAGCAGUGGGGAAUUUUGGACAAUGGGGGAAACCCUGAUCCAGCCAUCCCGCGGGUAUGAGAAGGCCUUCGGGUUGUAAAGUACUUUUGGCAGAGAAGCGGUAUCUGCAGAAUAAGCACCGGCUAACUACGUGCCAGCAGCCGCGGUAAUAC